rnacentral:hammerhead_ribozyme from 1 species
GACGAGUCCCAAAUAAGACGAAACGCGCGUC